GCUGCUGUAGCUCAGUGGUAGAGCGUAAGAUUGCAGUCGCAGUCAUCCUAAGGCCCGUCGUUCGAUCCGGCGUAGCAGCU